AUCCACAUGCUAUUUUAAGAGUGGAGUAAAGCUCCACUAAAGCAGAGAAUACAUUUCACUUUGCAGUUUCAUCUGAAGAGCUACCGUUAUUUACAUUCCCACUUGUUUCUAAUAGGAAUUGCAAGGAAGAAAGUCCUGUGUAAGAGAACACAAACCAUAAGAGCAAGAACUGGAAAACUCUAUUGGGUCAAACUUGAAAGGAUGCUCCAACUGGGAGAGAAGAAGAGACUGAUGAAGGAAGGCAUGGUCUGAAGCGUCACCUGCCGCUGAGAGAGUCUUAAGAGAACAUAUACAAAGGGACAGUAGCCACCUGGAGCCUUCUUGUGGCGAAUGGCAGGACCAUAAGAGGGAUGAAAACAGGUGAUGGGCCUCAGAGCCCCUGUUUUGAACUGACCCACUUUUGCAAAUGCCCACAUUCCAUCAGUCAAAAAGCAAGUCAGAUGACCAAGUCCAAGAGUAUGACACCAUCUGGCAGGUGUUCUUCCUGCCAAAAGGAGCAGACAAAAAGGCUCACCUUUCCUUCUCAGAAUGAGGGCUCACAGAGAAGGGAGCCCUGACAAACAGAGAAAAAAAGCUCUCGAUGGAGGCGUAGGGGACUGAUGAGAGAUGAACGGGAAGAAACCCUGUCCGAAGCAACUUUGUCUGAAUAGAAGAGAUGGUAACUUGGUGCUGAAAAUAGACUUUGAGCUGCACACAAGCCGAGAUUGAGAGUAACCGGCACAUAAUUAGAAUAAGAGUUUUGAUGCAAAGGUAAGAUUACUUCACUGGAGAUCAUCCCUGCACAACGUAUAGAGAAGCAGGCUUGGCAGAACCCAUCAAUGCUAGAAGAGAAAUACAGAUGUGAGCGAAGGGAGAGUGAGUUACUGCAGUCACCUCUUGCCAAGAGUGUCCCUAAUCUUGAGCAGGGAGGAGGUGGGAAAUUCAAGUUGGCAGCUGCACUGAGUAACAUUUUUAGCUUGUAGUAUAUGGUGAUGUUUGGGUGAGCGACAUGAACUAUAUGCCCUUCUGAUCCGAUACUGUGGGUUAAGUCAUUAUCCACUCAUCUUUCUGUUAGUUUCAUAAAAUCGAUUUAAAGAAUCACUAACUUAUUUUCAUGUAUAAAAAAUCAGGUUGAAGCCUACUGGUGACUUAUUCAACAUACCCUUGCCAAGAAUGGAACACCAGGAGAGGGUAACUGUGUCUUAGUUUGGGCUUUUAUGGAAAUAGACCCUUAGAUAAAAAUUCAAAGGCAAGCAGUAUGGGAGAUGAUCCCUGGAACCCGUGGAAAAGGAGUGUGGAUGUGAAACCAGAAGGGGUAGGGCCGAUAAGAGGUGGAUUAUGAAACAAAUCCCCCCUCACAGGCCACCAAAGCUGGGGACAUCUGGAAAUGAUGCAGAAUAAUCACUCUGACUCAUUUUCUCUGAGGGUCCAGGCAGCUGAAGCAUUUAUCUACCAACUGCUAGCAGGUGGGUUUCCAGAGUCGCUCCUGGGAGGGGGUCCUUCUCCAGAAGUGCAGCCUGCCCCACAGAUGAAAUACAGGUGCUGCUGGGAGGAACCAGCCCUAUGUGCCCAGAAGUGGUCAGAAUGAAGGGCUGAGGGUGGGACAGCCAGAGCAUCACUGAGAACCCCAGCUGGAUGCCAUCUUAACAAGGGCCCAGCUUGGAUGUGCUGCAGAGGAAAAUGACAUUUGUGCAUUUCCCACUCUUCUGGCAUCAGUGAGAUGGCUAUACCCCUAGGAGCUCUUGGUGGGGCCUCAGGAUUGACUUGAACCAAGAAUCAUAUUUCUCUGUCCUUUACUUUUCAAUCAAAUUAUUUUUAUAUAUGACUUAUAUUCAAACCCGAGUUGUAUUUACAACUGUAUUCCUGAGUUUCUUGCCACUGUUCAGUGUAAGCAUUCCCUGGAAAACAUAGCAGCGCACCCUAAAAGGUCUAAGGCCACUGUAUAAUAAAAUGUACUGUCCUGUGUUGUUUCUUUCAGGUGAGGCCGUAGCCUUACUGCAGGCACAUGUGGGAUCGAGGAGGUACAAAGGGAACUAGACUAUCUGGCCUGGAAUGUCACUGCCAGGAAUGUCAAGACUGCCUCAGACUGUCACAGUGACUUUAUAAAUGACUACUCCUUUUCUCUAUCAAUUCCAUUUUCUUAUUUUCCCACUCAAAAAUAUAAAGGGAAAUUAUAUGAUUGUACUACCUUUAAUUUUUUUUUUUUAAAAAACCUCUAGAUUUCUUUGAGUAUAAAUGCAUGGGAAUGAGCAGCAGCAUGUUCAUUGUGAAUUGACAGCUCGUGUCACUGAUUUUAAAAAUAAAAUGAAUGUCUGUUUAUGCACAUUGGUAUAAUUUGGGGGACUGUAUAUGCAUAUUAUAAUACCAUGGAUAAAUUAAAAAGUCAUCAUUUAUAUGUUACUAAAAAAGUUUACUCCACAUUAGCCUGAGUGAAUGUAAUUUGUAUCAGGUUUUAUGUUUCUUUUCUUUUUAUGGCUACACCUGUGGCACAUGGAAGUUUCCUGGGCUAGGGGUUUAGUAGGAGUUGCAGCUGCAUGCCUGUGCCACAGCCACAGCAACACCAGAUCCAGCUGCAUCUGCGACCUACACCACAGCUUGUGGCAACGCCAGAUCCUUAACCCACUGAGUGAGGCCAGGGAUGGAACCUGCAUCCUCAUAGACACUAUGUCUAGUUCUUAACCUGCUGAGUCACAAGGGGGACUCCAGGUUUUCUGUUCAGUACUGCAAAUGCCUGCUGUGGCAAGUGUUGUGCAUUUUAUAUGAUUGCUUCUUACUUUUAACUAUUAAUUUUAGAGUAAUAUUAGACUUACCAAAAAGGCACCAAAGUAAAUUUCAGAGAUCCUAUAUACUUUCCGUAAUGUUAACAUCUUACAUAAGUGUCAUACAAUAAUAUAGGACCAAUUUUGGUACCAGAUAGAUGUAAGCAAAUCUGCAGCCAAAAUUCAUCAUCUUGUCUAGGAAUUCUCUCCAUGUAUGGUACUGGAAUGAAUAAAAACGUUUUAAUGUUCUUGGUUUAAAAACAGCAGAAUAAAAGAAAAAAAAA
ensembl:lncRNA